UCAAAUGCUAUGACGAGGAGGAGUACAUGCAUCCCCCGAUCAACAGAGAGAAGACGGUGGUGAGAGUCUUCAUCAGGAAUGUGUGGAAGGUAGCCUUCGAGCAGUGGAUUGAAAGAUUGCAGCAUACAUAUUUGUCGGCUGUUGUCGAGUAGGUUUCAACGGUUUUCCCCGUUACAGGAAUAAGAUAUUAAUAAUGAUUACAGUGAUAAUUUAUUAUAGUAUCUGAUGAGUGCAGACAUUUGUCUGAAUUUAGGUGGUACCACGGAUAUGAACAUAUUCGCCCUAAGC
rnacentral:ncRNA from 1 species